UCUGCUGUGUGGACGUGACCCUGACCAGGGAGCUCCGAAAAUCGGUGAUAAUAACAUGAUAUAAUGAAAGUGAAAGGAAGGCAACUGAGAGAAUAAGAGAACGUAAACAAGAAGCAAUAGAGAACUGGAGAUCCUUAAACACUUUUAAAGAAAGAAGGCAUGUGCCCUAUCUUAACUGUUGGAAAACUUUCAGAAGAUGGGCAUAGGACUGAUAAAUGCAGCUGGCAAAAGUCUACCACAUUUGGGCUUUGUAUAGCAAGGACAUCAGAAGAACAGCACCGUCAGAAGGGAGGGUACAGUGAUUAUGGUGGAACUGCAUUAUAAACUCCAGGCUUUUUGGAAAAACCAAGUUCUUAGACAAAAGAAAAGCGAAUAGACAUUAAAAGAGAUAGAAGUCAAGAGAGUAUUGAUUAGAGUAAGGGCUGACUUGUAAGCAUGGUUGGCAGACCCACCCCUAAUAUUUAAGGUGCCCGGGGCCAGAAUGUUAUUAGAGCUCCUUCUAUUACUUACCUAAAUAUUUAAAAGUAGUAAAUCAAGACAAAUUAUUAA